CGCCCGGAGCCGGCCCGCAGCGCGCCCCUCGCCCGAAGAGGGACCGGGAGUUUCCUCUUCGGCAUCGCUCCGGUGACCGCGGGCUGUGCCAGCCGGCCGCCCAGAUAGGUUGCGUGGCAGCCACGGCGCGAGCGAAUAGAACUCCUUGGAUGCGUCGGAAGUAAGCGCCGGGAGCAUUUUGUGAUCUUUGUGGGAGGAAGGCACAAGCCACCCAGGCCCCGUUCCCUCCAUCUUGAGCCUUCCAUGGUGAUUUGCAGCAGCACAGGGAAGUAUGAAGCACUGAGGGACAGAAAUCAGUGUUUAAACCUGACUUCACUUCAGCAUUAACGACCACGCAAGUUUCAGAUAACAGAGGACCAGGGGUAGAAUAGCAGAAGCACUUAAGGUGCCUCAUUUAAAAGUUCUCUUUUGCAUAUCUAAAGAUUAGGGAGCUGUUCAGAACAGAUGAUUAUACAAGUGCUUUUAUUUACUGUCCUAACAGAAGAUGGUGAUCCUCAUUACCUUACAUGUGUCCUGGUUGCAUCUGUAUCACCGUAUAGAUUUCAGGGGACCUGUAUUGAUUGAAGUUAGUAUAGAAACCCAGUGAAGUUUUAAAUAAUCGGAGUAAUAUUCUCCCUCUCUUUCAGUCAGAUUUGCCCUUCAUGUUCCUUGUGUUUCAUAAUCCUCCUAGCUCUCCAUUUCGUCAUUACAAGACCAGCAUCUCUACUGUAAAAAAAAAAAAAAAAAA